rnacentral:rRNA from 1 species
UACAGAGGGUGCGAGCGUUGUCCGGAAUCACUGGGCGUAAAGGGCGCGUAGGCGGCCGAGUAAGCGUGCGGUGAAAGCCCGGGGCCUCAACCCCGGGUCGGCCGUGCGAACUGCUGGGCUUGAGCACUGUAGAGGCAGGUGGAAUUCCGGGUGUAGCGGUGGAAUGCGUAGAGAUCCGGAAGAACACCGGUGGCGAAGGCGGCCUGCUGGGCAGUGGCUCGCAAGAGUCAAUAGCUGACGGCUGAGGCGCGACAGCGUGGGGAGCAAACAGG